UACAGAGGGGGCCAGCGUUAUUCGGAAUUAUUGGGCGUAAAGGCGCGUAGGCGGCCAUGCGUGUCUUCCGUGAAAUCCCUCGGCUCAACCGAGGACGUGCGGAAGAAACUGCAAGGCUCGAGUCCGGAAGAGGGGGGCGGAAUUCCCAGUGUAGCGGUGAAAUGCGUAGAUAUUGGGAGGAACACCAGUGGCGAAGGCGGUCCCCUGGGCCGGAACUGACGCUGAGGCGCGAAAGCUAGGGGAGCAAACGGG
rnacentral:rRNA from 1 species